rnacentral:misc_RNA from 1 species
UACGAAGGGGGCUAGCGUUGUUCGGAAUUACUGGGCGUAAAGCGUACGUAGGCGGAUCAGAAAGUUAGGGGUGAAAUCCCAGGGCUCAACCCUGGAACUGCCUUAUAAACUCCUGGCCUUGAGUUCGAGAGAGGUGAGUGGAAUUCCAAGUGUAGAGGUGAAAUUCGUAGAUAUUUGGAGGAACACCAGUGGCGAAGGCGGCUCACUGGCUCGAUACUGACGCUGAGGCACGAAAGCGUGGGGAGCGAACAGG